GACGAACGCUGGCGGCGUGCUUAACACAUGCAAGUCGAACGAAGUGGCGCACGGGUGAGUAACGCGUAAUCACCCUGCCAUUCAGCGGGGUACAACAGUUGGAAACGACUGCUCAUACCGCAUACUGAAGAGGGGGAUUGCGUCUGAUUAGUGAGUUGGAGGGGUAACGGCCAACCACGGCGAUGAUCAGUAGCCGGUCUGGGAGGAGGAACGGGCACAUUGGGACUGGGACACGGCCCAGGCUCCUACGGGAGGCAGCAGUGGGGAAUCUUCCGCAAUUGACGAAAGUCUGACGGCGCAACGCCGCGUGAGUGAUGACGGCCUUCGGGUUGUAAAGCUCUGUUAAGCGGGACGCGGUACCGGAAUAGAAAGCCACGGCUAACUACGUGCCAGCAGCCGCGGUAAUUC
rnacentral:rRNA from 1 species